rnacentral:rRNA from 1 species
GAUGAACGCUGGCGGCGUGCCUAACACAUGCAAGUCGAACGGAGUUAUGAUGUGAGCGGGAAGUGCUUGCACUAAACAAUCUUUUCAUAACUUAGUGGCGGACGGGUGAGUAACGCGUGGGUAACCUGCCCUGUACUGGGGGACAACAGUUGGAAACGACUGCUAAUACCGCAUAAGCGCACGGGAUCGCAUGAUCGUGUGUGAAAAACUCCGGUGGUACAAGAUGGACCCGCGUCUGAUUAGCUGGUUGGUGAGGUAACGGCCCACCAAGGCAACGAUCAGUAGCCGGCCUGAGAGGGUGAACGGCCACAUUGGGACUGAGACACGGCCCAAACUCCUACGGGAGGCAGCAGUGGGGAAUAUUGCACAAUGGGGGAAACCCUGAUGCAGCAACGCCGCGUGAGUGAAGAAGUAUUUCGGUAUGUAAAGCUCUAUCAGCAGGAAAGAAAAUGACGGUACCUGACUAAGAAGCCCCGGCUAACCUACGUGCCAGCA